CUACUGACAACCGUUAAACAAACACCAUCUGUGUUUUACUGGAUGACUAUAUCCUAUGAGGUAACAGUAGGAGACCAAAGUGAACAAAAUCUCAAAACAAUGUUUGAGUGGUUCUUCAAAGGCAACCUAGACACAUGUGCAGUUUCCAGUGAGAGCUCCCCAUUUGUGAUGUCACA